rnacentral:rRNA from 1 species
AUGUGCAAAAAGGGCAGCCCGGUGCACGUAGCUCCCUCUUGCGUAGGGUCCGGAGAAGGGUCCGACCACUUUGGGUUUUCUGUAUGCAGUAUUUCCCUAUAUUUCCGCAAAAGGCUGUUUCCAGGACUAAAACCUGUGACCUCAUGGUCACAAGGCAACACCCUAACGUGCAAGACCAAAAUAAAGAUACAUGUGAAACGCACAUGCCAACAGCAUGGCAUAACUACAUGUGACAAUUUAGCAAACAUUAAUAAGACUAGGAAGGAAUUUUUUGAAAUUUGUUUGAAAUAUACAAAUGUGCAAACUUGUGGAGGGGUGUAUAUGGCAAAAUCUGCUUUGGAGUCAGUAUCAAAAUUGUGGAUAUCUUUAAAUGGACAAUAA